CUUAUCACCCUGCAGCUCUUGCCUGGUUUCCCAGUGAAGCUAAACAGGGUUGAGCCUGGCUAGUACUGGGAUGGGAGACCUGGAAAAACUGGGAAAACAAAAAA
rnacentral:rRNA from 1 species